ACGCCGGAGAGUGGUUAACUGAUGGAUUCUGGCUCCUGCACCUGCCGGUCAGCCAGCGUCCGCCUCCAGCACCUGGAGCACCUCUCACCUGUCAUGGGGCGUGGAGCUCUUCCUCCAAGCGCAAGAUCGGGUCUGCAGAACCGGGAGGCCGCGCCUCGCACCACUGAGCUUCCUUCUCCCUCCAUAUGACACCCUCGCUCUUAUCCAGAAGACUCCAAACACAUCCAGAAGACUCCAAACACGUCCUGCGUUUUCUCUCCAAAAACGGAGAGAAUUAAGGAACAGAGAGGAGGGACUUUGCCUGCCGCCUUGUGAGACCUCGGAUAGAGAAAGAAAGAGGAGGAGAGCCUUUUCAAGAUUUGGGAUGUGGUGGAAGUUUUCAGGACUGUUGACAAAACGGAAGGUCUUAUAAUAAAUAGGUAAAUAUUAGGCAAAGUUGAGCCUGAGUGAGGUCAUAAUAAUGAAUACAUGAAGAAUACACUAUGAAACGGAGCGUUCCCAUACUUUCCCAUACUUUCCCUCCCUUGAUUUCACGACCACUCUGGUAUCACCCCCUUUUACAGAUGAAGACAGCGCGGCUCGGAAGGGUUACACGGUGCAACAAAUUCUGCCUGCCUGGAGGCUGUGGCACCACAGUGCUCCUGGGAGUGUCGCUGCCCCAACCCCAGUGCUGCUUCCCACGGAAACCCGCCGCCCGCCCGGGGCUGACUUCGUCCAUGCCCGGGUGGCCCCAGCCCUGUGGGAUCGCAGGCUCUGUCAUUCCUUCCCUUUCCGACGUCUGAGCCAAUCCACUCCCGCUUUCUACAGUGACAGACGAGAAACCCUGAUUGGAGUCAGACUCGGAUUCAACUUCUGUUCUUCUCCCAGGUGCGCCCAUUCCUUAGCUGCUCCUGUUCCACCAAGAAGGCUCUGCCUCUGUAUCCUUCUGCCAUGGGAUCCACUGACUGCUUGGGAUUUGUCUGUUCUGUCCUGUGCUGAGCCCUUGCUAAAGACGUGAUAUGAACUUUCUCCCUCAAACCUCAAGGCAGACCCAGUUAGGUAGGUAUCGCUUGUUUCCUCAUUUUAUAAUGUUCAGUGACUUGCCCAAGGUCAUGAGCUGGACUGGAAUCCAGGUCCAUCUGACUCCAUAGGCUUUGCCCUCUUCAGCCCCCUGCCCAGGCAGCCCCCAGUGUCAAUCAGCGAACCCUACAGCACGGUGACUGUAGGUUGAGGAGCUUAUGGGUUUUUAGGUAUAAGGUGCACAUGGUAAAGUGCAAACAUGGAUUUUUCACACACAGUUCAGUGAUGUUUACAUCUGUACACAUGCAACAACCACCAAGAUCAAGAUUUAGAACACCUCCAGCACCCUUACAAACCUCCUCAUCCCUCUCCCUAAUCUACACUCCUCUGACUUCUUUCAUCAGCAAAUAGUUUUGCAUAUUCUUGUCUUGGUGAUACUAUGAAAAGACAGACCUGAAAUCACAGUUCUCCACUAGUUCCCAGUUGUGGGACCUUGGCCAAGUUACUAUCUUCUCUGAUCAUCAGUGUUCUUAUCUGCAUAGUGAACACGAAUAACCCCUCCCUCACAGCACGGUUAGUCCCUUCCUCUUCAGCCAAUUCUUCAUGUUCCUGAAAAAUGUGCCACACAGCACAAAAUAUGAAUUUGGGCAGGAGCAUUGGCUCCCAACCCUAGUUGUGCAUUAAAAUAACAUGGGAGAAAUUUUUAACAUACCAAUGCCCAGCCCCUAACCCCAGAGGUUUUGAUUUAAUUCACCUGUGUGGGGGAGCCGGCAUCUGUAUUUUGUCAAAGCUGCUCAGGUGAUUCUAAGGUGCAGCUGGGGUGGGAGCCACCUGCAUAUUCAUUUGAGAGGCUGUCAAGGGGGAGAUGGUGACCAUCCAACCCAGUUUGCCCCAGGACUGUCCCAGUUUUAGCGAUGAAAGUCCUGCAUCCCAAGAAACCCCUUAGUCCUGGGCAAACUGGGAUGGUUGGCCAUCUCUCAGGGAGAUGAUAUGCCAAUGUUUGAUAUGUGCUACUUAAAUUUAU